rnacentral:rRNA from 1 species
UACGUAGGGUGCAAGCGUUAAUCGGAAUUACUGGGCGUAAAGCGUGAGCAGGCGGUUUUGUAAGUCUGAUGUGAAAUCCCCGGGCUCAACCUGGGAAUUGCAUUGGAGACUGCAAGGCUAGAAUCUGGCAGAGGGGGGUAGAAUUCCACGUGUAGCAGUGAAAUGCGUAGAGAUGUGGAGGAACACCGAUGGCGAAGGCAGCCCCCUGGGUCAAGAUUGACGCUCAUGCACGAAAGCGUGGGGAGCAAACAGG